rnacentral:rRNA from 1 species
AGUGAACGCUGGCGGUAGGCCUAACACAUGCAAGUCGAACGGCCGCACAGUAAGAGUUUGCCUUUACGGUUGGCGACUGGCGGACGGGUGAGGCAUACAUCGCAAUCUACUUUUUCUUGGGUGAUAACGUAGGGAAACUUACGCUAAUACCGCAUACGAUCUACGGCUUAAAUCAGGGGAUCUUCGCACCUUUCGCGAUUCAAUUAGCCGAUGUCGGAUUAGCUAGUUGGCGAGGUAAAGGCCCACCAAGGCGACGAUGCGUAGCCGGUCUGAGAGGAUGAUCAGCCACACUGGAACUGAGACACGGUCCAGACUCCUACGGGAGGCAGCAGUAGGGAAUAUUGGACAAUGGGCGCAAGCCUGACGCAGCCAUGCCGCGUGAGUGAAGAAGGCCUUCGGAUUGUAAAGCCCUUUUGUUGGGGAAGAACAGAAGCAGAUGAAAAUCCCGAUGUUCUGACGGCACCCAAAGAGUAAGCAACGGCUAACUUCGUG